rnacentral:misc_RNA from 1 species
GAUGAAGAACGCAGUAAAAUGCGAUAAGUAAUGUGAAUUGCAGAAUUCAGUGAAUCAUCGAAUCUUUGAACGCACAUUGCGCCCGCCAGUAUUCUGGCGGGCAUGCCUGUUCGAGCGUCAUUUCAACCCUCAAGCACAGCUUGGUGUUGGGACUCGCGUUAAUUCGCGUUCCCCAAAUUGGUUGGCGGUCACGUCGAGCUUCCAUAGCGUAGUAGUAAAACCCUCGUUACUGGUAAUCGUCGCGGCCACGCCGUUAAACCCCAACUUCUGAAUGUUGACCUCGGAUCAGGUAGGAAUACCCGCUGAACUUAAGCAUAUCAAUAAGCGGAGGA